rnacentral:rRNA from 1 species
UACGUAGGGCGCAAGCGUUGUCCGGAAUUAUUGGGCGUAAAGAGCUUGUAGGCGGUUUAUCGCGUCUGCUGUGAAAAUCCGGGGCUCAACCCCGGACUUGCAGUGGGUACGGGCAGACUAGAGUGUGGUAGGGGAGACUGGAAUUCCUGGUGUAGCGGUGGAAUGCGCAGAUAUCAGGAGGAACACCGAUGGCGAAGGCAGGUCUCUGGGCCACUACUGACGCUGAGAAGCGAAAGCAUGGGGAGCGAACAGG